rnacentral:lncRNA from 1 species
UCAAACCAAUCAAAAGGAUUACAAGAUAGAAUUCACACCACAUAUCUGAAUGAAAAUAAAUAAACUGCAUAAACCCAAAAAUGCAUUCAUAAAUCAAAAUCACAAAUCAUUAUAAAUACCUAUAAAAACAUGCAUGAACCCAGAAUUACAGUUGUACCCAUAAACUCAAAACCACGAGCAAGGAUACUUGAACUCAAAACCACGAGCGAAGAACUUGAGACAGAAUGCAUCAACCUUCGAGCAUCAACCAUCGAAUAUCAACUAUUCUCUCAAAUUCAAAAAGCUAAUACAUGUUAAAACAAAAGCGAGAUGUUUUUU